UACGUAGGGCGCAAGCGUUGUCCGGAAUUAUUGGGCGUAAAGCGCGUGUAGGCGGCUCGAUAAGUCUGCUGUGAAAGUCAGGGCUCAACCCUGAAAUGCCGGUGGAAACUGUCAGCUUAGAGUCCGGAAGAGGCGAGUGGAAUUCCUGGUGUAGCGGUGAAAUGCGCAGAUAUCAGGAGGAACACCAAUGGCGAAGGCAGCUCGCUGGGACGGUACUGACGCUGAGACGCGAAAGCGUGGGGAGCAACAGG
rnacentral:rRNA from 1 species